AGGGCACCACCAGUAGUGGAGCCUGCGGCUUAAUUUGACUCAACACGGGAAAACUCACCCGGCCCGGACACUGGAAGGAUUGACAGAUUGAGAGCUCUUUCUUGAUUCAGUGGGUGGUGGUGCAUGGCCGUUCUUAGUUGGUGGAGUGAUUUGUCUGGUUAAUUCCGAUAACGAACGAGACUCUAGCCUACUAAAUAGAUAGUCGGCUUACAAACGUCGACUAGACUUCUUAGAGGGACAGGCGGUGAUUCAACCGCACGAAACAGAGCAAUAACAGGUCUGUGAUGCCCUUAGAUGUCCGGGGCCGCACGCGCGCUACACUGAAGUGAUCAGCGUGCUUUUUCAGCCUACUCUGUCAAGAGUGGGAAACCCAAUGAACCUUCUUCGUGAUUGGGAUAGGGGAUUGUAAUUAUUCCCCUUGAACGAGGAAUUCCCAGUAAGCGCGAGUCAUAAGCUCGCGUUGAUUACGUCCCUGCCCUUUGUACACACCGCCCGUCGCUACUACCGAUUGAAUGUCUU
rnacentral:rRNA from 1 species